GUCCGAAGCCUGACCCUGGUGUCCGGCUAACACCAAGGAGCUGGCAGGGCUGGGUGCUUGUCAAGCAGCAAUAAGGGAAUUUAUAUCUGUGCUUUCUCAGCUUCGAGAGCUGCCUUGUGACUCCCUCCUUCCAUUUUCAAAGCCAGCAACGUGCCACCUUUCUGUGCCUUUCUUCUGUAGUCACUUCUCUCUCUGCAGCCAAGACCUGCCCUCUGAUUUUAAGAAGCUGUGAGUUACACUGGGUCCCACUUGAUGAUCCAGGAUGCCCAUCUAAAGGACCUUAAUGUCCCUAGACAGGAAAAUCCUUGGGAAAUGUAAGAUUAGCUGUGCAUAGGUUGGGAUGUGAACAGUUUUGGGGGAACGUACCCCAGUCCUUAUUUUCUCCUGAUGAAGCUGCACUUGAAAGUCUGAACACUUUUACACAAUCCUCUGAGCAGGACUUGGUAACCUGACAUCAUAAAAUGGGCGCACAGAGUGGAUUCCUUAUUAUCUAUGGGAUUCCAAGGAAUUCAGGAGAUGAAGCAGAGCACUCAGGGACUGGCCUGUCAUGGAUAGGGUCCCAGGGAAGCCGACACUGGGGCAGGGGUUUGUCUGAGGGACAUUUGCCAGGGUGUGCUCUUGGGUGUUCAUGUGCAGAGAGAGGGUAGCCAGGCUGGGCAGAUGUAGUCACAGCAGUCUUCUGCCAUCCUCUGGCAAGGAACUGGCCUUUGAAUGCCUGCAUGACUGCUCGUCACUUAUGGUAGCUCCAGAAGCGGGGCAAGACCUUGGUGGAGGUGACUGUCUUCAGUUGCAGUCAGUUUCCUGAGAGGCGCUCAGUGGAAAGCUGGCAGAGGCCAAACUUCCCAGAAACUCCUGGAAUGACUACUUCCCCCCUGAAAGCACAGGCAGUGGGGGUGCAGGGGAUUAUCUGGCUAACCACAGUGACCACGACAGUUAACCACGUUGGAUGUUGUGCAUGGGUCAGUUGCCCAGUGGGACUCUGCAGGCUCUGGGGAGACAAACUGAAGUAUAGGCGAGGGAGACUCCCGCCUGCAGCAGCGGGUGGACCCCGAUGGCCCCAGGCAGGCAGAGCCUGGGCAGAGGAGGCAGAAGUGAAAGUGACUGGAUCCGGUGGAAUGUGGAGGCAGGGCAGUGUCUCAGCAGGAUCCCAG
rnacentral:lncRNA from 1 species